CAAUCAACCAACAAUACCACAAUAACAAUUAAGAAGAAGAAGAAGCUAUUCUCCAUUUUGGUCGCAGUUAUUUUGUGUGAACUGGAAGUGCCAGUUCCAGCAGAAAAGAGAGAGUUUAGUCUACCACGUACGGUACCAGAAACAAGGACAUGACACCAAUCUUGAUAUUAUCAUCUAGAAAGUCUACAUGGAAUGUCUGGAGUGAGCAGUUAUUGCCUUGGUAUUUAGUCAUCACUCAAUGUACAGCAUGUCUGCAUCGCCUAUCUUGUGUGAACAAUCUUCCAUCAUAAAUAAGAGAGCUAGUUUACCACAGACAAGGACAUGACACCAAUCUUGAAAUCAUCAUCUACAAGGAAUGGACAGUGUGAGCAGUUAUUGAUGUUUAGUCACGUCACUUAGUGUACAGCAUGGAUGCACACCCUUUCUUGUGUGAACCAUCUUCCAUCAUAAAUGAAAGAGCCUUUCUACGAGAGACAAGGACCUGACACCAAUCUUUAUAUUGUCAUCUACAUGGAAUAUUGUCUGGCGUGAGCAGUUAUUGGUAUUUAGUCAUAUCACUCAGUGUACAGCAUGUCUACAUCCCCUAUCUUGUGUGAACCAUCUUCCAGCAUAAAUGAGAGAGCUAGUCUACCAGAGAAAAGGAUAUGACACCAAUUUUGAUAUUAUCAUCAACAUGGAUAUCUGUGAAGGUGAGUUAUGAUCCAAAAGAGGCAUUGGACUUGACAUUAAACUCUUUAAAAAAGGUUACAUUAAACAUAUUCAACUUGUGAACAGAGGAGUAGAUGGGUGUACAGGGAGAAGAUAUUCUUUCCUGCUCAUAGCGCUGAACCUCUGAACUUUCCAGACAUGAAUGUAUCAUAAUAUAUUAAGCAAGUAAAUUAAGAGGCUUUUUUUUUUUUUUAUAGGAGGAAAUCAUAAUUUGUUAACAAAUUUACAUCAAUAACUGGGAUAUACUCAUUUGAUUUGCUAGUUCAUUACGAUUCAGGGUAGGAAUUAAUUUUUUUUUUUUAGGGGCUACUUUUUUUUUUGCAUUGGGGCUACCACUGAAUAUCUUGGGGCUAUUUUCUAAUUCAUGGGGCUACUUUUUUUUUAUCGCAUAUCAGCAAUUACCUUUUGACAUUCCGAGACUCAAUGUGAUGCCUAAAAGCUCAGAACAUUUUUAACUGUAAUUACUGUAGGCUACAGGCCUUACAAUAAACAACAGUGAUCCCACCAGAGCAGUGGCGUACCUAGGAUUUUUCACAGGGGGGCAAAUUCGUCCGCCCAAAAAUGUGACAAGC